CCUACGGGUGACUGCAGUGGGGGAUAUUGCACAAUGGGGGAAACCCUGAUGCAGCGACGCCGCGUGUGGGAAGACGGUCCUCUGUAUUGUAAACCACUGUCCCCAGGGACGAAGAUGACGGUACCUGCGGAGGAAGCUCCGGCAAACUACGUGCCAGCAGCCGCGGUAAUACGUAGGGAGCAAGCGUUGUCCGGAAUUACUGGGUGUAAAGGGAGCGUAGGCGGGAUGGCAAGUUGGGUGUUAAAUCUACCGGCUCAACUCGUAGUCGCACUGGAAACUGCUAUUCUUGAGUGAAGUAGAGGCAGGCGGAAUUCCUAGUGUAGCGGUGAAAUGCGUAGAUAUUAGGAGGAACACCAGUGGCGAAGGCGGCCUGCUGGGCUUUUACUGACGCUGAGGCUCGAAAGUGUGGGGAGCAAACAGGAUUAGAUACCCCAGUAGUC
rnacentral:rRNA from 1 species